ensembl:lncRNA
GUCUUUUCCAGCCUUAAUGAUUCUAUUGCUCUCCCUGCUUGCGUACAGCUGUGGGCAUGUCUGUGCCAGACAUCCCCAUCUGAGUGCUUCUUAUGGCUCCAAGGGAGUAAAAUACGUAGAAAAUGAGUCAAAAUCAGAGUUAUGGAAGUUGUCAAGGCUGCCACCAUCAGCCCUGUAUCAUAGAAUCAUAGAAUGGACUGAAUUGGAAGGGACCCUUAAAGGCCACCUGGUUCAACUCUCUGCAGUGAACAGGGGCACCCACAGCUCCAUCUGAUGCUCAGAGCCCCGUCCAGCCUGACCUUGGGUGUCUCGAAAGAUGGGGCACCCAACACCUCUCUGGGCAACCUGUGCCAGUGCCUCGCUGCCCUUAUCAUACAAAACAUCUUCCUUAUAUCCAGCCUAAAUCUCCCUUUUUUUUUUUUAGUUUGAAACAGUUUCCCCUUGUCCUAUCACAACAGACCCUGCUACAGAGGCUUUUCCUUCUUCCUUACAGCCUGUGCUUGCAGCACUGGUUGUUGCUAGGUGGAAGUGGUGUCAGCCCAGAGUCAUCCUGCCCAAGAUCCCCUCAUGUUUGCAGGGGUGCAUCCCUGAGAUGGAGCACUCCAGGCCACCUCCUGGCAUUGUGCUCCUGAGCCUCAUCCACAGCAUUGGCAAACUGUUUCCUCGAGGAGACAAUUGAUAAAGCUGAUGAAAAGGGAUCUAAAUUCCUCAUCAGGCUCAAGCUCUGAAAAGCUGGAUUUCCGCAGCACAGCGCAAAGUGCAGCCAUAUGAAAGACCAUCUGAUCCCAGCCUCUGGAAGUCCUUCCUGCUGGAAAGCAGCAGUCCCUGUAUGAACUACGAGCACGGUUGAGUCGGAAGUCACCUUCAUAACAGCUUUGAUGUUUCAACGCUUUUUACAGGAGAUGAGAUUUGAUAACCUGCUUCCUGACCUGUGGAUAGAGAGCAGAAUGAAACCCAAAUUCUUGAGAGAGUAACCAAACACCUCUGGGAAGAGCCGCAGAACAGUCGGGCUGAUUUGUAGGGCCGUGGGUUUGCCAGGAAACCUCCCUGAGCUAUUACUUUAAAUUGCCACUAAGUGGCAGCCAAGUAAAAAUUAUGGUAAAAUGAAACUUUCCCAAAUAAAUAUUUCAUCUAACGUCAGCGCAAGGUGCAGCAGCAUCAACAGAAUUCCUGAGCCGUGUGGUGCCCGGGAAGCUACACCAAGGGAGGAGAUGGCAAUAAGAGGGAUCUGUGGGAAUCCAUGUGGGUUUUCCUUGGGAGGAGCACAGUGUGCAGCAUGGUGUGCUUCCUGACUUGUUACAGAACCACAGAAUCAUUCAGGCUGGAAAAGACCUCUAAGACCCCCAAGUCCAGCCCCAGCCCACCCCACCAUGCCCAUAAUCACAUCCCUCAGUGCCACAUCCCCACUGUUCUGGAGCAUCUCCACGGACGGUGACCCCACCACUCCCUGGGCAGCUGUGCCCGUGCAGCACUGCUCCUUCAGUGAAGAAAUGUUUCCUAACUUAUCUCUUUUUAAAAAUCAGUCUAAAUAGGUUCAGGACAUCGAUUAAUUGCCAUAAGCACGUGCGUGCUUGGCAUAAAGGCAGGGUAGAAGACUUGCAGCGUUUCCUUCCCCCUGUAAAUGAGCACUACGCCAUCCACUUGCAAAACUGAGAUUCCCCCUGGGUAACACUUGGCUCUGAUGCAUUAUUAACCAUUUUAAUUUUUAAGUGGCUUGAAGAUACCCAGGUAAAGCGAGGCAGAUCUGGGUCAGGCACACUGCGCAGCAGCUUUCAUUAGCAGCUGUGCAGCUUUGUCACCUCUGUGAAUCUCAGGGAGCCCGGGUACCUCCCCUGCUCUGCAGUGGAGCUGGAUCAGAGAUGACCUCUUCAGGGAGAAAUGGUAAUUGGAAGCGUCGGUUAUCUGAAACUUUUAUCCAAAAAGACAGCAUCCCAGGCACCGCGCCAACCUGCUCACAUUUAGAAUGUUUUAGGAUAUUUGAAGGAAGUCACAUGCACGGCAUACAUUUUAAUGCUCAAAGGACUCUUGAGAUAACAUAUGUAUUUUUUCCAAGCGUAAGGCAAAUAGUGGGAAGGGAGAGAUACGUAUCACAAAGUCAGCUGAAAACGCUGGGGGGAAGAUCUGUCUUCAGCCACCAGCAAGUGCUCCGUGUUGAUCCAUACUGCUAUUUCUGAGAGCGUUUUGUUAACCCAAAGGUCACCACGAGUGACCACGUUCUCAGCCUGGAGUCCGCCUGUUUCCAUCGCCACCUCCCUUCAGUCUUUGAAGGGACAGGGAAAAAAAAGCCUCACCUUGCUUCAGAAUGCUGUGUUUCUGGAAAGAUUAAAUGAAGAGAUGAAAAUGCAGAGCAGAACAUGCCCAGAUGUGUCAGCUGCUCUCCCCACGGAGCUACCAACUCAUUCCAGGUGCUGAUUUACUCCUUGGGUUUUCUUUGUGGUUUACCUCAGCCCAGACUCAGCCAGGCUCUGGGUGCCCAUGCCUUUGGUGUCGCAUUGCCAAACAGCAGCAAGCUGCAAUAGUAUCAGCUCAGCAGUGAUGUGCAGACACCUGGAAGUCCCUCAGCAAAGCCAUGUUUGGCAGUGAGUCCUGUCUGGGCGGUGCUCCUGGAGCUGACUGCAUCCCAUAUCUCACCAGGUGUGCGCCUGGCAUUCACAGAGAACGAAGUCCUGUGCACCACAACCACAGGAAGGAUGUGGGGAGCCGUGAUCCUGUGCAGCAAAUCUGCGCCUUCUAAGCUGCUUCAGGUGUUCACAUCGAGACCAUCACCAGCGAGGCCACUGUUAAUCACUUUUCAUCCUGAAGAAGGACCCCAGCUGACUGAUGCCUCUUAGAACCAUAGAACCGUUAAUGUUGGAAAAGAUCACCAAGUUCAACCCCAAUCCAUCCCCACCAUGCCCUUAACAGCGUCCCUCAGUACCACAUCUCCAUGGUUCUGGAACACCUCCAGGGAUGGUGACACCACCACUCCUCGUGCAGCUGUGCCACUGCGCCAUCGUUCUUUCAGAGAAGAAAUUUUUCCUAAUAUCCAACUCUUCAAGACCAAAGUAGUGUUACUUGUUAUCAGACUGGACAGAAGGGAUCUGAGCCAGGACUGGGCAGUGGGGACCAUCUUGCUGUCCUCUCACAUGUUGGCGCUCAUCCCGGCCUCUUCACACACAAAGACGCUUUGCACCAAGAUGAACCCUACUGGAAACUUGACUUUGCUGAUGCUCUACGUAAACUGCAUUUUCAUGGCAGGUAUGUGGGAGAAUGUUUCUGUCCUUCUGCACGUGCUUCUCUUGGGCUUUGUCUCUGUUGCCAAGCAUGUCUGUGACAGGAAAAAAGAUUUGCUCCUGGUCAUGGGCAAAGCCAGGGGGGGUCUCAUAAUGGCCCCACUACGGUUGCGAGAGGAGGCUGAAAUUUCUUGCUCAGACUUU